ACUAACUAGAAGGCAAGGACUCACCCUUUCCCUGUAUAAGUCUGUGAUCUUCCACCCAAAUGGAGGCCCUGGGAAUUCAGGCCUGAGGUCUCCCGUUGGGCCUGCAUUUUACAAGGGGUUUAGGCCACUGCAGUUCCAAGGAGUCAGAUUUCUGUGAGCCUGCACCAUUGCCAGGCACAUUACACUCUCACCAAUUAACACAGAGCAGCCAUAGCUCAAGUAACAGUUUUCCUCUGAUGCGGUCCAGGGUUUCCGCCAGCAGCGCUGUUUGUUUUAACUAAGGGAAAGCUAGGCUGCAGCUGAUGGCCUCCAUGGGCACACUGGCUGUCUUGCAGUUCUUCGCUCAGAGCCGAGCACUGGGAUUUGGACAAGCUGGCGUUUCCAGCCUAAUUACUCAAGUAAGGUACAAGACUACUUAAAAGGCUGACUCCUUCUUCAGUAUGGCUGCACAUAGAUCACCAAAUAUAAUUCCCAUACUCUUCAUAAAUAAUCCUCAUCAUCACCAAAUUCCUCCAGGGUAGGAAUUUGAAAUCGGCAUCAGAGGUGAAGAAAAAGACGCAGUGGAGACUUGGCCAUGGCACAGUGCCUCCACACCACAAAGAAAAAAAAAAAAGGAUGAAGAAGGAGAAAAGAAAAAAAAAGUGUUGGCCAAAUCAACGUAACUGAAGUACCCUGCAGGACUGUUGUGACACCUCCAAGGGCACUGAAAUUGACCAAUAAAGUUUCUUCGGCUAUGAUUUAUGCUUACCUAGAAUCUGGGUAGACAGAAUGCUUAUCUGGGCUGUACAGGUUUCUGCAUGGUCCAGGGCACAAACUGCUACAAACAGUCUAACUUCCAGGACCUACAAACACUUCACCCCAUCAGAGUCUAGGACAGAUUGGUCAAUGACCUUGUGCUGCCCAAAAUACUAGCACUGGAAAGAAUGCCAUGUACUCACACAGGUUAUGUUGUAGCAAAUAAACCCACUAAUUCUUGGGUCUUUUUUACCCAGUGAUUAGUUUUUAGUCAACAAGUAAUUUUCUGCUAUAUGUUGAUUUGCGGACCUAAGUUCUCCCAGCUACGGUUCUUCCACCUCUAGACCGUGGAAGUCCUGGCAGACAUAAACAGAAACAUGGGAAAAUCACCUUUGCUGCCUGAACCUGGGAAUGACUCACGUCACUUGCAAUCACAUUCUGUGGAUGACUAGUCACAUGGUCCCAGAUGGAUGCAAGAAGCGCUAGAGACUUAAUCCCUGGCCGAGUAGCCGCUUCCCGGAAACAGCGCCCUGUGGAAGAGAAACUGAUCACCACUGGUAACAGGGUUUUAUUGCUUUGCCCCGUGGAGAAGGAGGAGUCUCUAGUAAUGGAUUACCAAUAGAGCAACUUUCCUGCUAGCAUUCUUCACACUGGAAGGUCCCUGGUGGACAACUCGUAUUCCUCCUCAUUCCAGGGACCACACUACAUCGAGUCCCGGUUCCUCCAGUGCCAUUCAGUUUGCUGCUCUCUUCACAUCUCCCCUUCAUUGCCUGCUCCAACAUCAUCCUUCACAGAGCAGCUCCAGCUCAGGAGCUAGUUUCAUUACAGUCAACAGUUACUAGGGAGGCAGGGCUGGCUUCGCUUUAUCCAUGUGGUUGAUAAUGCAUAGCUGUUUCCUGCAGAAAGAACUUGGCAGGGAUGGCUUUUCCUGGAGAGGAGAGUUUGGGUUUUGGUUUGUUUUUGGCUGCCUCACUGUGUAGCCCAGGCUGGCCUCAAAUGCACAAUCUUCUUGCCUCACAAGUGCUAGUAUUACAAACAUGUGCCACCAAACCCUCUCUCCUAAAGAUUUCUUUAAGUAUUGCAAGCUUCGCGAACCUAUCAGUACACAGAACAUCUAAGAAGCUUCAUGGGUGUUAGUGAAAGAGCAUGUGCUAGAGUUAGCGUCCAUGCUGUUGGCUCUGUUCAGCAUGUACCCUCAGCAUUCCCACAGUGUUUCAGAAUCGCAGCAUCUUCGUAGAGUGGCACCACUAGGGCUCCAGAAGCCCACAGUUCUGCCAGCAGACUGAAGGAAAGAACAACUAUUAAGUGAAUGAGAAGAGCGGAAAUGAGUGAGUGAACACGGUGUCUUGACAGAGAACAACACACAUACAAAGCAAAAGUGGGCUUGAGAUGUAACUCAGGAGUAAAGGGCUUCCCUAGCAUGUGAGAAGCCCUGGGUUCAAUCCCCAGCACCUCAAAAGCAGAGGGGUUGGGGAGAGAAUGAAUAUUGUGGAACAAAAAAAAAGAAUACCACCAUUUUUUUAAAUCAGUAUAAUUAUAAUUAUGUAAAUAUAUGCAUCAGACUAGCAAGGAAUACAUGAAAAUGUUUAUUCUUUGGUCCAUGCAUUUAUAAAUAAUUAUUCAUUGUUUUAGUUGCUAUGUUUUCCAAGCCCUCGACAAAAAGAAUGUGAUGUUUGGGUCAGCAGUGGUUCAGAGAGUAAAAGUGUCUGCUGUGCAAACCUUACGACCUGAGUUCCAUCUCCAGAUCCCACAGUACCAGGACGAAACCUGCUCCUGAAAACUCCACUGAUGUGCUCUGGGACGUGCACGUGGAGGCCCUUAACAACUAAAAGCAAACAAACAAAACCAUUCAGACACAUGAGCACCCAUAGGCAUUUUUAAAAGGUUGUAAAAAUUUUCAAGAUUAAAGAGUUACAAUGACAA